UUGAGUUUUAGCGCGAAGAUGGCACCGCGCAUUCGCUUUCCACACAGACGGCCAGCGAUCUCCGACCAUUAAAACCAGCGGGAACUUUCUUUGCAACGGAAACUGCAGAAGCGCCGCGACGCUCAGCAACAAGCCCGCUCCUUAGCCUCCACGCUCCUCUCCCUCUCAUCCACAUUUAACCAGCCUAUUACCUCUGAGCCGGUGCUGGAAAUUGAACUAAACGAACUCGAAUCCGAAACAGACUGAUUGUCGGAGCUACUACCGCAGGAUGAGUUUAACGAGCCUGCUCUGAUAGAUCUCGAUGUGCUCCAGGCUUUGAAGCUCAAAGGUUCAGAGGCUCGUAAGUGGUUUUCGAAGCAACUGUUGCUUCCUGAGUGCAUGAUAGAUGUUCCUGAUCGGCUUGGCGAAGACUGAUGCGUACUUGCAAGGCCUUCCGGUAAACGAUGCUUUGUAGUUUCUUCAAACGGAACAACUAUCAGCAGGCUACGAAAUGGAUCAAUUCUGCAUCGUUUUCCUUCUGCUCUACCGAACGGAGCAAAGACAAAAAAAUGCCUCUGGAUCCGGUCAAACAUAUUCUAUUCUAUAUUGUAUAUUUCAUGAACUGAGUUUCGCUUCUUCUGGCUCAAUUCCAAGCUUGUUGAAACUGGUGCUUGUGAGCCACCUUCAUAGUAUCACGAAUAUAAAUUCAGCUCGAUACCUGUAUAUACAUGCCAUCAAAAUAGUCUCUAUGUCGCUUAUACAGGAGCCAUACCUUUUGUCAAGGAUGAUCUAUUAUUUUACAUGCAUUCCCAUUACCAGCCAGGUACACCACUUGCAUUGGUCUGGAAGGAUGAGAAUUGCAGUCGAUAUGUUAUUGACACAGAUAAAAUGGACAAGUUCCAAGCCAACAGCAGCUGGUUUUGGAGCUACAAGGUGAUGGAAAGGGUGCUAAAUUAGAUGAUCCUUCUGUGGACAUUGGUUGCUUAGAUGGUGACUUGAUCGAAAAGGUAAUCUAUUUCGAUUUAUCAUUGUUGAUUGUGGGUUGACCAUUGUGGACGGGAGGAUUCAGAGGGUAGAUUUACUUUACACUGGCAAGGUCAAUCGAGCUCGAGGAUAGUUACUCCAAGGUUAGAAAUUGUGCUAAAUAUCAUACUUGUAGGGUCAAAUCAUAUUCAUAAAAACUAAUUGACAAUUAGUUUUAUGAUUAAUAAUUACUGCCGUUUUUUUUAAAUGCCAUGAAUUUAUCCAGCAGAUCAUAAUUUUAGGUAGAAUACUUGUGCGCUGUUAUUUGUUUACUUUGUUUCUAGCCAUUUAUGGAAACCACAUAUGCAGGUUGUGUUUCAAUACGCGGCUCGUUGCUCACUUUUAAGCAUAGAUUAUCCAUUAUCACCCAUCAAUCAUCGAAUGAUUGGAGAAGAUAAUGUUACUGAAAUUGUUGGAUAGUUGUCGAUAGCCCUAGGGGCGGAGCUAGACAUUUUCCUGCAUGAAACUCAGGCAGCUUUCUGUUGAAUCAAGUUGAGAAAUACUUACUCUAUGCUUGAAACCGAAAAGGUUCAAGUUGAAAAGUUGGUGAAUCCUUCGCUGCAAACUACUGAGUCCUUUCAGAGCAACCUUCAGGUGCUGCUGACCUUUCAUCAAGGAUUCUGGAGUUGGUUUUCAAUUUACGGUAUGUAUUCAGCUUAGCGACGUCGACAACUUAAAGGCUGGCUGGCUUAAGCACAACAAAUUGUUUCUACAACAAUCAAUGAAAGGAACGACAAUCAGUUCUGGAGGUUC